GACGAACGCUGGCGGCGUGCUUAACACAUGCAAGUCGAGCGGAAAGGCCACUUCGGUGGUACUCGAGCGGCGAACGGGUGAGUAACACGUGAGUAAUCUGCCCCUGGCUUUGGGAUAGCCACCGGAAACGGUGAUUAAUACCGGAUACGACCACUUCUCGCAUGGGAUGGUGGUGGAAAGUUGUUUCGGCCAGGGAUGUGCUCGCGGCCUAUCAGCUUGAUGGUGAGGUAAUGGCUCACCAUGGCUUCGACGGGUAGCCGGCCCGAGAGGGUGACCGGUCACACUGGGACUGAGGCACGGCCCAGACUCCUACGGGAGGCAGCAGUGGGGAAUAUUGGACAAUGGGCGGAAGCCUGAUCCAGCAACGCCGCGUGAGGGAUGACGGCCUUCGGGUUGCAAACCUCUUUCAGCAGGGACGAAGCGCAAGUGACGGUACCUGCAGAAGAAGCACCGGCCAACUACGUGCCAGCCGCCGCCGUAA
rnacentral:rRNA from 1 species